UACGUAGGCAGCAAGCGUUGUUCGGAAUUACUGGGCGUAAAGGGUGUGUAGGCGGUUGGGCAAGUCUGGUGUGAAAUCUCCCGGCUUAACUGGGAGGGUGCGCCGGAAACUGCCUAGCUAGAGUGUGGGAGAGGAAAGUGGAAUUCCUGGUGUAGCGGUGAAAUGCGUAGAUAUCAGGAGGAACACCUGCGGUGUAGACGGCUUUCUGGACCACUACUGACGCUGAAACACGAAAGCGUGGGGAG
rnacentral:rRNA from 1 species